AAAUUGAAGAGUUUGAUCAUGGCUCAGAUUGAACGCUGGCGGCAGGCCUAACACAUGCAAGUCGAACGGUAACAGGAAGCAGCUUGCUGCUUCGCUGACGAGUGGCGGACGGGUGAGUAAUGUCUGGGAAACUGCCUGAUGGAGGGGGAUAACUACUGGAAACGGUGGCUAAUACCGCAUAACGUCGCAAGACCAAAGAGGGGGACCUUCGGGCCUCUUGCCAUCAGAUGUGCCCAGAUGGGAUUAGCUUGUUGGUGAGGUAACGGCUCACCAAGGCGACGAUCCCUAGCUGGUCUGAGAGGAUGAGCAGCCACACUGGAACUGAGACACGGUCCAGACUCCUACGGGAGGCAGCAGUGGGGAAUAUUGCACAAUGGGCGCAAGCCUGAUGCAGCCAUGCCGCGUGUAUGAAGAAGGCCUUCGGGUUGUAAAGUACUUUCAGCGGGGAGGAA
rnacentral:rRNA from 1 species